rnacentral:rRNA from 1 species
CAGGGGGUGCAAGCGUUGCUCGGAAUCACUGGGCGUAAAGCGUGCGCAGGCGGAACGUUAAGUCGGAUGUGAAAUCCCGGGGCUCAACCCCGGAACUGCAUUCGAAACUGGCGAUCUUGAGUGCGGCAGAGGUGAGUGGAAUUCCUGGUGUAGAGGUGAAAUUCGUAGAUAUCAGGAGGAACACCGGUGGCGAAAGCGGCUCACUGGGCCGACACUGACGCUCAUGCACGAAAGCGUGGGGAGCAAACAGGAUUAGAUACCCUGGUAGUCCACGCCGUAAACGAUGGAUGCUAGCUGCUGGGAAGCCUUAUCUUUUCUCGGUGGCGUAGCCAACGCGUUAAGCAUCCCGCCUGGGAAGUACGGUCGCAAGACUA